rnacentral:sRNA from 1 species
UGAUGCCAGGGUCAAAAGGUCUAAAUUCACAUGAGCUUGCUCAUAAGUGGAUGAAAGACCUUGAGACCCGCCCCGAUAUGAGCAUAAAGGUGGGAUGAUAAUCCCACGAUAUGCGAAUACCGGAGAGGAUUGUGGGAGUGCGAUGCACGGAACAAUCCGUAGGCAUCA